rnacentral:rRNA from 1 species
GUCCUACGGGGGGCAGCAGUUAGGAAUAUUCGUCAAUGGAGGAAACUCUGAACGAGCAAUGCCGCGUGAAGGAUGACGGUCCUUUGGAUUGUAAACUUCUGUUGUUAGGAACGAACCGCCUAAGUAGGAAAUGACUUAGGUCUGACGGUACCUUUCAAGAAAGCUCCGGCUAACUACGUGCCAGCAGCCGCGGUAAUACGUAGGGAGCGAGCGUUAUCCGGAUUUAUUGGGUGUAAAGCG